rnacentral:rRNA from 1 species
GUGGGGAAUUUUGGACAAUGGGCGCAAGCCUGAUCCAGCAAUGCCGCGUGCAGGAAGAAGGCCUUCGGGUUGUAAACUGCUUUUGUACGGAACGAAACGGUCCUGGCUAAUAUCCGGGGCUAAUGACGGUACCGUAAGAAUAAGCACCGGCUAACUACGUGCCAGCAGCCGCGGUAAUACGUAGGGUGCGAGCGUUAUUCGGAAUUACUGGGCGUAAAGCGUGCGCAGGCGGUGCUGUAAGACAGGCGUGAAAUCCCCGGGCUCAACCUGGGAAUUGCGCUUGUGACUGCAGUGCUGGAGUGCGGCAGAGGGGGAUGGAAUUCCGCGUGUAGCAGUGAAAUGCGUAGAUAUGCGGAGGAACACCGAUGGCGAAGGCAAUCCCCUGGGCCUGCACUGACGCUCAUGCACGAAAGCGUGGGGAGCAAACAGGAUUAGAUACCCUUGUAGUCC